rnacentral:piRNA from 1 species
UGGACCUAUCCCUUUCUCUCUGGUC